AUUGAACGCUGGCGGCAGGCCUAACACAUGCAAGUCGAGCGAGCGGCGGACGGGUGAGUAAUGUAUGGGGACUGCCCGAUAGAGGGGGAUAACUACUGGAAACGGUGGCUAAUACCGCAUACUAUCGGAUAACCCAUAUGGGAUUAGCUAGUAGGUGGGGUAAAGGCUAACCUAGGCGACGAUCUCUAGCUGGUCUGAGAGGAUGAUCAGCAAAAGUGUGACGUAGACACGGCCCAGAAUCCAAGGGAGGCAGAAGGGGGGAAUAUUGCACAAUGGGCGAAAGCCUGAUGCAGACAUGCUGCGUGUAUGAAGAAGGCCUUAGGGUUGUAAAGUACUUUCAGCGGGGAGGCGUUACCCACAGAAGAAGCACCGGCUAACUCCGUGCCAGCAGCCGCGGUAAUAC
rnacentral:rRNA from 1 species